UGUAGCUAUUGCAGAUGUUAGUGCAUGCUGGCUUGUUCUAUCCUGCUUUCCACCUUCCUUUAUCAAUAACUGAUAGAAAGAGUAAGAGUUGAGCUUUGUUCUAUAGCGUAAUAGAUACCGAACAGUGCUUUUAAUUAAGACUGUUUUCUCUACAUUUCUAGGCGCGCGUCUGCGGCACGGAGGUUGAAGGUUGCAGAACGACGAUAUGGAGUUAGAAGAAGCUAGAGCUGAGAAAUCAACUGGUCUGAAAUAUAUAAAUUCUGGAAACUACGCAGCAGCGGAGGCAUCAUACGGGCGCGUCUUGCAGCUGUAUGACUCCGCUGCUGCUAGACCCAGACCUGAAGACAAAGCACAUGGUUUUUGUACAGCACUUUAUCACUUGGGGUUAUGUGAGGACAGUAUGAUGAAGGACUCCAAUUACUGAACUAAUCUCUAAGAAUUGAAAGAAAACUUGGACCAGGAUAUAAGUCAAAUGUUCCUGCCACAACGACUGAAAUACUGCAAAUCCAAAUCAGCACUGGCGAAAAAGGCAACACAAAAAAUGUUACAAAACUGCCUGUCAAUCACCAGCAAGCAUCUGAGAGUGAAUGGCUCAAGUUAGUAGCCAAGUCACUAAAUGGUAAAGAAGUGCAAUUGAAGGCAAAAGCAUCUGAUUCUAUUGCCACACUGAAGAAGCAACUUGGUAGCAAGGACGAUUGUUCAUCCAUGGAUCAACUGCUCAUUGUGAAUGGAAAACAAUUACGUGAUGAGCAAACAUUGUCUGAUGCAGGAUUGUGUCUCGUGCCCAUGUGAGUUAAUCUUGUCACUCGAGAUAAAAGCUGCGAUGGUCUAGAAGAGAAGAUGGGCAGUGCCUUGUCUAAUGUCAAAGUUAUCUUGGCUUUGGCCAAUCGUUUGUGUCGCAUCUCUGAAGAGAAAGAAGUGCGUGCGGCUCUGGUGUAUUUGGAUGACGCCGGAUCGGGAAUAUUCCCUCAGAAGAGUGAGAAAUUGAAGAAUACGGUCGUCACCAAACCGAAUUGGUUGUUCAAGAUUUUCAGCGUGAUUGCAUCAAUCUAUUAUCCUUCUGGGUUAUGUUGUAGGUAUUGGACUCGAGCAAAGACAACAGCCAUCAUUAGCUGGGAGCUGAUGAAGGAUUGAAAGGCACUAGACAUGUGGACCAACCAACUUGGUCGCAAAGCCAGUCGCCAAUUACUGAUAAAGACCGUAUGUGACAUUGGUUGCAGACUAUAAGCGGAAGAAGUUUUUGGUUACCAGUUAGUAGAAUAUGUUUCCUUGCUGUAAAAAGGUAUUGUUGUAUUUUGUAGGUUUUGUACUUUUAUUUUGAUAUACCACAUUUUAGUUAACAUUUGCUUUUUCUAUCAUUGGAACGGCUUUGCACUAUUUUGUCGAGUAGAUUUGGUUGACUCAGUUGACAGUGUAUUGCUAGUGAGUUACAGUCAAGGACAAAGCAGUUAUGCUUCUUAUUUUAAUUUGUAUUUGUAUGUGUAGUAGACAUUUAGCUCAAUAGGUUUUAGUACA